ensembl:lncRNA
UUUUUUUUUGCAUUCUUUUUUUUAAUGAAUAAAAUGUAUGUGGCUAACUGACGGACAAUGAUAAUCUUCAAAUGACCGAAAUCACAGAAUCCAUUUUAAUCAUUUUAAUCCAUGCCAUAUUGAACAGGAGUAUUGUUUUGAGUAAAGUCAUUUUGAUGAGUUUCUAAACCCACAUUUUCUUCACUGCUUGACAGUUAUACAAGGCUUAAUAGCUGCAUUUGAAAGCAAAAAAGGCUAAGCAUGCUUAAACAUAUUUGGUUAAAAGCUAAAAUAUUGCUAUAUGUAUUUUAAGCGAUUUGACGGCAUACAAGUUUGAAAGUUUGAGGACAGUGGCAGGCCACUCAUUGUAACUCAUUCCAACAGAGAAAGGAAACUUAUCCUACUUAUUCUUUAUUACUUAUUUAGUAAAGUUCCUAUUACAGCGUAUCAGUAAAAACAGUUAAAAUUGGUUAAAUAUUCACAUUAUUACUAACUUACUGAAGAGUGAAGCUUUAGCAUUAAAUUGUUGAUAACAGUAAUAAUAAUAAUAGUAAUAUAUCUAAUUAUUAUAAAAGUUUUAAAAAAGCCACUUUCCAGCAAGAUGAGCCUUGAGUUUCAACAGCAUAAUUUUGAAAUUUCAAUUAAACAUACAUUUCUCCUCCAACCGUCCGUCCAAGAAAGACAACCUCGUUUCUCUCUCACUCUACAAUGGAGUGGGCGUGUCUCACCCCAGCGGAUCCUGCUCCAGAUAUUCAUGGUCUCCCUCCAUGUCGUCCGGGGGCACCUCUGGAAGCUCUCUGUGCGGGGUUCUAAGCCCGCUGUCAGCCUCCGCGGCCGUCUCCGCGGCCGUCUCCGCGAUCUUGGGUCCAGGCUCCAACACGUCGUCGUUAUCCUCCAGGAUGUCAACCCCGUGGCUACCGCUGUCUGCUAAACACAACCCAAAGCACGAGGCAGAUAUAGCAUGACAUAUGAACACGUAUAGGCUACCUCUGUCUGCUUAACACAACCUAUAGCAUUAUAGUAGUAAAGCAUAGCAUAUGAACACGUAUAUUAUACCUGUCUGCUUAACACAACCUAUCGCAUUAUAGCAGUAAAGCAUAGCAUAUGAACACGUAUAUUAUACCUCUGUCUGCUUAACACAACCUAUAGCAUUAUAGCAGUAAAGCAUAGCAUAUGAACACGUAUAGGCCUAUUAUACCUCUGUCUGCUUAACAAAACCCAUAGCAUUGGGGAGAAAUAGCAUAGCAUAUGAACACAUAUAUUAAACCUCUUAGCUGGCGGCUAAACACAACCUAUAGCAUUAUAGCAGUAAAGCAUAGCAUAUGAACACGUAUAAUAUAUUAUACCUCUGUCUGCUUAACAAAACCCAUAGCAUUGGGAAGAUAUAGCAUAGCAUAUGAACACAUAUAUUAAACCUCUUAGCUGGCGGCUAAACACAACCUAUAGCAUUAUAGCAGUAAAGCAUAGCAUAUGAACACGUAUAAUAUAUUAUACCUCUGUCUGCUUAACAAAACCCAUAGCAUUGGGGAGAAAUAGCAUAGCAUAUGAACACAUAUAUUAAACCUCUUAGCUGGCGGCUAAACACAACCUAUAGCAUUAUAGCAGUAAAGCAUAGCAUAUGAACGUGUAUAUUAUACCUCUUAGCUGAUGCUGUCUGCUAAACAUAACCCAAAGCAUUAGGGAGAUAUAGCAUAGCAUAUGAACACGUAGAUUAUACCUCAUAGCUCACGCUGUCUGCUAAACACAACUUAUAGCAUUGUAGCAAUAAAGCAUAGCAUUUAUAGCACGCAUAUUAUACCGCUUAGCUAACGCUGUCAGCUAAACAUAACUCUUAGCAUUAUAUUAACCCAUAGCUUAGCAUAGCAUUAAAACACAUGUAUGUCAAUAUUUAUAUUGUUUUAUAUCGAGAUGUAUUUAUAUUGUGAUAUUGGGUAAGUUAUUGUAGUGGGAUGUAUAUUAUUCUAGUAAUGUAAUAAAUGGCAAAUAUAUCUCUUCAUGUUGUCUCCUUUAAGCGGUAACUAGGCAUAACUCAGCCGAGGAAUCUGAUAAUGGUUGAGCUGAUUAUUAGUAGUAGCCGUAGCAGUAGUUGUGUGAGUGGUAUUGGAUUUUAAUUAAGUAGGACAACACGAUUAACAUUAAGUCUUCACUUUUGCAUUGCAUUUUUGACCAGUGAGUCAACAUGGCUUCCUUGGUUCGAAAGCCUGACCUGCUUUUGAGCUGGGAAAGACGUCACUGUAACAAAUCUUUGGAUUGUCCUCCGGGGUCUCCUCUUCGGGGGCCUCCUCCUUCAUCAGGGACAAUGUCUCGCCGGGGCCCUCCUCAGCAAUGUCAUCGUAUGACUGCGAGGCGUCUUCCGAGUCGUUCCAUUGGACUUCAGCAGGGAGCGACCUGGAGUCUGGAAGGAAACCAUGAGCGGUUGAACCUGUCAACCUUACAUCCGAUUCCUUCCUUGUGCAUAAUAACGCUUAUUGGGUUCCUGUGACACACUACAGGACGCAGGAGCACACAUAGAUUGGUUCAGAGCUAACUGAGGGAGCGUAAAGUCAAUCCAAAAUGGGUGGUAAAUGGAGUGCAUUUAUUUGUGCUUUUCUGACCAGUGGCCACUCAAAGCGCUUUACAUUUUCAUUUUCAACAUUCACCCCUCGCAAACUGAUGGCGGUGUCAACCAUUCAAGGCUAGAGCCAGCUCGUCUGGAGCAGUUAGGGUUUGGGUGUCUCACUCAGGGACACCUCGACUGUCAGCUAGGAGGUGCCGGGGAUCGAACUAGCAACCUUCUGGUUGCCAGCCAACCCGCUUUACCUCCUGAGCCACAUGCCCCUCUCACCCCGAUGGAACAAAAGGAGGAGCAAAUGGGGAAAUAAUUGAACCCCUUCAGUUAGGCCACUCAGGCCUCAGAAUAGGCCUAGUCCUACUGGCACCAUGAGCUCACUCACCCAUGCGGCUUAAGCUGCCCUUCCCGUUGACACUGCUGCCAACAUCGUCAUAGUCGCUGGUUUCAACCUCCAUGUCCCGGCGCUUUGGGAUACCCACUGUGCCCAGAGCAAGACAUGUUGGAUUCGCACUCACAUGAACACACAACACACAUGUAGGCCUGCGCAAAAGUACAGUGUCCUAUGCAAAAUACAAACCCGCACACGCACAAGCAGAUCCUUCCUUUAUACUUAAUUAUUUAAACUUGAAUUUAGUAUAAAAAUAUUUAUCCAGAUAUCAAUUACAUUUUGUUUUCAAUUUUUAACGAGAGUUUGAAGUGCUGUAAGUUCUGAGCGCCGGACGGAGAUGUGUAAAUUGCCCAAUUAAAACACAUGUGCAUGAAGGCUGACCUCUAGUGGCGUGAUUGUCUCAUUACGACUCCUGCAUAAGUAUAACUGGACCAGAGGGAGAAAGUUAGACAACUGCUUCCUAACGAUGGGGCAGAGGACUACAUUUGAACCCUUUUAUGGAUAUGGGGUCAUGGGAGGUUGUGGAUUUAUAAGCUAUAUUUGUUGAGAAAAUUAUGAAAAUUAUUGAAAAGGUUUGUCUCGCUGAAGGUCAGUUUAUGUACAGACAGACCCACUGAACAAUUUGUAGCCAGAUACUAAAAACUGCAUAUAUUCAUGGUGGCAUAGUCGGACUGAUGUUGAUUGGAAUCAAGCGUGUGUGUGUGAGACUGUGUGAGUGAGUGAGUGAGUGAGUGAGUGAGUGAGUGAGUGAGUGAGUGAGUGAGUGAGUGAGUGAGUGAGUGAGUGAGUGAGUGAGUGAGAGAGAGAGAGAGAGAGAGAGAGAGAGGGAGAGAGAGAGUGUGAUUGAGUGAGUUUGUGUGAGUUUUUGUAUGUUAAAGAAGGGGGUCAGUUGGGGGUCACAAAAAAAAGUAAUUCCCCACAUCUCCUCGGACCGAAGUUAUCGUCCGUCUGGAAACUCACUCCUGAGGAUGUGACGCCUCAGCAAGAAUAAGACCCCCACGGUCAGCAGCAGAGCCACCGUUCCCGCGGCAACGCCCACCCAGAGUUGCAGGUUGGUCUUCUCGGGGGGGAGCUGGGCCACGUAACCUGGGAACAGUCACACGACCACACAUCUGUACGGCAGCAACGCUCAGCCAUGCUUAGUCGACGAAUCAAUUAUUAGAUAUUUUCACACACACGCUCAAAGUUCGACAUUCGCUCGUGUGUGUGGAUGCUGGAUGGUCCAAUCGGCCUGACUUUGGCCAGGUGAGGCUGUGUAAACCAGCCAUCAUCCACACACACUCCCACACAUGCAUUGGUUUUUAAAUGCAUGGUGACGGGAUUUAUAUCCAUACAGCGGUGAGGUUGCGGAUCAGAAGCACAACGUUGGAGCAAUGAAGUUUGCCUGACUUGACUCACCAUCACAGUAGAUCUCCGCCACUUUGGACCCCUUGCAGGAAGCCUUGCUCACGCAGUAACUGAUGGUGGUGUGUUCUUGAGUACAAUUCAAGCUCAUUUUAAGAUCAACCUACAAAAGACCACUACAAAGUGAGCCCUUCAGUGUUCAAAAGUAUUCCAAAUAUUUAAAAUGUCUAGCCCAGAAAAUAUCCUUUAUUCCUUGCUGAGGUUUAUUGGAAUAUAUAACAACAUCAACCAAAACACAUAUUUAAUGAGUUGAUUUCACGUUUCAUUCACAACGUUAUUGUACAGUGUGGUGUACGGAGAAUGUGUUGACCUGCUCCCCUUCCUCCAUCAGAGGUGACUCUCGGGGGACGCUGAUUGGAUCGCCACAUUCUUUACCCAGCUGUUUACACAGGUCUUCCUUCCCU